rnacentral:tRNA from 1 species
UGCCCGGUAGCUCAGUGGUAGAGCGGGCGGCUGUUAACCGCUUGGUCGCUGGUUCGAGUCCGGCCCGGGCAG